rnacentral:rRNA from 1 species
UACAGAGGUCUCAAGCGUUGUUCGGAUUCAUUGGGCGUAAAGGGUGCGUAGGCGGCGCGGUAAGUCGGGUGUGAAAUCUCGGAGCUUAACUCCGAAACUGCAUUCGAUACUGCCGUGCUUGAGGACUGGAGAGGAGACUGGAAUUUACGGUGUAGCGGUGAAAUGCGUAGAUAUCAGGAGGAACACCGGUGGCGAAGGCGGGUCUCUGGGCAGUAACUGACGCUGAGGAGCGAAAGCGUGGGAGCGAACAGG